UUCUAAAAUGCAUUUUUAUUAAGCAAUAAAUACAUAUACAAUUAGCAUUGAAUGAUUAAAACAACAGGCUAGGUAUUGGGAACAUGUGCUAUGGGAGUAAUUAAACACUAAUCAAUAUUCGAUUUUAUGAACAAAAACAACUGUGUUAUGUAAUUAGGAAUUGGUAAGCAAUGUAAACAAUAUCCUAAAUAUAUCAUCUGCCUUGAUGGCUUGCAUUAUUAAUCUGAAGAAAGUGACCAAAAGCAGAAUAUAACUCAAAAUGUACAUUGCAAAACAAUGUACAGAUUUCCUGGGUAUGACAAAUAAAUCUGUAAAAUUAUCCUUAUAAAAAUGGAAAUGGUAUUACUAUGUAGUUCAUAUGUUUUGCAAAUAGUCAUCAUGAUACAUAAAGUAAGUUACCAGUCACCAGCAGUAAUUGAAUGGACGUAUCAAAAAUUCAAAAUCAUGAUAAAUACAUGCAUUAUGAUCAAUCAAAAUCCCAUUUAAUUGUGAUGUCACGAAAGCCAAGAAGUAAUAAUAGCAUCAAAAAGGACAUUUUAAUGAAUGAUACACUUACAUGUUACCAUUACAAAACGAUGUAGCACAUUUCAAAGUAUGGGAAUAAUCACCUACACAAAAAAUUCAUAAAUCAAAUAAUAUAUGGAAGAAAUAUAAACUAGGAUGUGCCAUAAAAAUGCAAAAAAAUAAUAAGAUUACAAUUAUAAAAACGACAAUAUGAAAUGCCAGUGUCUCUUUCUCAAAAUAUAAAGCCAGAUAACAGAUGACCCCCAAAAAUGCAUUAUGAAGUAUGAACACAACUUUUUUUUAACACGACACACCAAAGCUCUCAAAUAUAUGAAAUUAAUAUAAAUGCUGGUAUUUGUUCUUAAAUGGUAUACCCUACAUACAUCAUUAAAUUGCACUACAUCUGAGCUUAACAUGAUUAACGUGUGUUUAGGAUAACUACAAAUACAAAGGCUCAAAACAGAAGGAAUAAAUGUAUUACGCAAUUCCCGUACUACCCAUUAGAUAUUGUAUUCUGGAGAUUUCAAACAGGCUACAUCCAACAUUGGGAAUAAAAACUACACUAUCAUAAUACAUUUUUACACUUUAUACAAUAUAUAGUCAACUUUACGAGAAUUCGGGUGGCACAUACUAUACACGUCAUAUGAAACCGAACACAUCAAAUAAUCCUGGGCUGUGGUCAUGCUUAAAGGGAGUUUUUUUUUUAUAUGCUUAUAGGGAUGCUCCAGGCUGGAGAUAUUCAUUUCUCAAUAAACAGAGUAUAAUUCACUGAGCAAAAUGCUGAAAAUUUGAUCAAAAUCGGAAAACAAAUCACAAAGUUAAUGAAGUUCAAAGACUUUUUUUUUAAUUCCGGUGAAACAGUUCUAGGCAUGUCUUCAUGAAUAUUCAAUGAGCAAAAUGAUCCCCACUUGUUUUUUUGUAUUUUAUUAUAGGAAAUUAGGUCCAUUCAACAAUUUUCUACCACGAACUAAAACAAUUGGAUUGACAACUGAUUAAGUACAUUAGUUAUUUAUAGCUGCAACUUAAUUAAUUAUAAUGGAGACACAUCAUUUACACAUGUAUGAAAAAAUGAAACAAUAAUAAUGAUUUCAUGUAUAAAGGAAAGUGGGGAUGUGACAUCAGCCCACCUAGUGAAUAUUCAUGAUGACGUGCUUAUAACUGUUUUCACAAAAUAUUGCUGAAUUUUAGAUCUCAAUAACUUCAAUAUUUGUUAUCCUAUUUUGAUGAUUAAUUUUCAACAUUUUAUUCUGUGAAUUUCACUUUAUUUAUUUAUAUACAGAGAACUUCAGCCCAGAGUAUCCCUUUAGAUCUUCAUUUGCUACUCUACAAAAAGUUGAUACUAACGAAGCGUGUUUCAUAAAGUUGUUUGUAAAAAUACAAACAACUUUUCAUGUACCUGGAACAUGUCAGAUACUUUCCAUCACUUAGCACAAGAAAGGAUUCCACUUGAGCAUAAAGGCAUUCAAUCAUAACAUACAAAUACUUUCAUGAAAGAGCUCCCCAGUAAGAUUGAAAAUCAAUGCAGUUUCCUUGACAAUGUGAGAGACCACACCUACUUCCAAGGGAGCAGAGAGAACAGAGAAUGUGCAAAGAGUGUCGACAAGCCAAAACUCAAAUGACCACAUGGUAUUGAUUUGGCUACUGAAGAACUUUCCUUAUUGAUAAAAAAGUACUACAUGAAAGCAAGUUUAUUUUUCAAAAUCAAAAACUUGCACUAAUGCCUGGGAAAUGCCUACAUAUGAAAGGGGUGGUCAGGGUAUAUUUUCCUAAAUCUGAAAGAUUGGAUUUUGGAGUGAAGGAGGAUUUCCCUAGGCUCUAUUUUUCCCAGGGAUUUUUUGAGCAUUU